rnacentral:lncRNA from 1 species
GGGGAGAGUGGAGAUCCCACCGGGGCCAGCCCAGGGGUUAAUCAUCUGGAUAAUCGGGAAAGGGCGCUGCCCGGCCUGGUCGCUGUCACCGAGAGUGUCAGUCACCAGCUCUCGACCCGCCGCAGAAAUUACCUGCUCCAAGAGACAUCCCACGGAGCCCUCCGCACUGAGCUGUCCCCGCCCGCUGUCUGCGGGAAGCAAACCGCGCCCUCGUUCAAAAGAAGCGGAUGCCCCUUUGACCCUCCUCCUCCCCCAGACGGUUCCCAAAUCCAGAAGGGCAGUGCCGGCUCGGGAUCGCUCCCAACUCCUACAGCGCAGCUCCAGCUUCCGGGCUACCUGCCUAUUACACAGUCCGUCUACCAAAAGGAAAAAAAAAGUGGUGGUGGAGGCGAGCGCCCCCAGCCCAAUUCGCCCCGACUGGGAACCCACGGGGUGCUGAACAGACGUCAGCUCUCUCUGCUCCUGCUCAGUCCCCGCGGGCAAGGAAGCGCCAGCGGCUGGAGAAGGUGGUUUCGGUCUCCCGUGGGUGCCCCUGACCCGAGGGGGCACCACACAGCCGAGGCAGCUGAGGUCGCAGCCGAAGUCACCUUCUCUCCGCACAGGAAAAUGCUCGUUCCCCGGGCCGAGCGCUUCCGCCGCGCGCUGAUCCCACCCGCCAAGCCCCGAAGGAGCCGGCGGCGCAGCGGCCCAGGCCCGGCCCCAGCACUGCUCCGGACUCCCGGUAGGGGGAGCCUCCCCGGGCGCGGGGCCAGCCCGGGUCCCGGCCUCCCCGCUCGGCCUCGCAGCCCGCGCGGCCGCCUCUCCACCUGCCCGUGGCGGAAGGGAGCCCCGCGCCGAGCCUGCCCCCAUCCCCGGCUGCUGCACCGCAGAGAAGACAGACACGACCGAAGUGCAUUCUUGAGGUCCAAAUAUAGGAGCGGCUCAGAAGCUUUCAUUUUAGGAUAUGACCAAUGUUCAGAGAACAACCCAAAUUCAGGGUGAAGGGGAAAGAAGUCAGCCACACUGUGAACCCACAGAUCACUCUACUGUGCCCCGUGUGGUCGAACACCUGAGCUCGAGGGGCCAGAGAAUUCCUGGAGGAUACUCCGCAGAUAAAACCUGCAAGCUCCCCUUCUGCAAAAAGCCAUCCUUCCCGCAGGAAUCCACAGCGCAGAAGAGCUCUCAUAAGGCCAAGUCAUCAAGAGCUCUUCAGAGAGAAUUGCAUAAGCAAAGAAUUUCACACUUGGAAGGAAACUUAAAGACCACUUAGUCUAAUGGUUGUGGUUUACUGGUGAGGAGCUUGAGCUCAGUAGACGGGAGGCAGAUUCACACUCCAGGUGAGAAAAUCCCUGAAUGCGGAGUUGAGCCUCCAACUCUCCUCUUUUGACCCUCAGUCCAGGACUGUUUGGACCGCAGGACACCAGAAAUGCAUUUUACUGUUGUUGCUAUCCCGGUAAUUACGAAUAUAUUUCCACAUAGUUUAGAGUGCUUAGUAAGACAUACUUCUUUCAUAAUAUUGCAACAAUAGCAAAAUCUGCAAGGUCUGUGUGAAAAGAAUAUUACAGUUGGUUCAAGAGACGCUGAAUUUUGGAAGUGAAGUUGCAUAUAGUAUUGAGGCAUUUGGGGGAGAGACUAAACAAAAGUGGUUGUAUUGUUUUAUCCCAAUUUAAGAACAUGCAAUAUAUGCAAAUAUAUGAAUAAAUGAACAAAACAGUACAAAAAACCCAGGAUCGUGGUAUUAUAAAGCAUUCUUUAUUUUUUAAAGGCAUUCUUCUAAGUUGUGUGGUUUUUCUCCAAAAAUCAGAGCUAUUUUAGUGCAUAUAAGCAUUUGUUUUAUAGGGUUUUUUUUUUUGUUUAUAGGUUUUUAAAGUAUUGAAUUCUGAUGCCAUUUUUAAGGAC